GCAGUGAAUUCUACAAAGAGGCUAUGGGAAAGAAACCUGGAAAGUACCCUUGGCUGUGUACAUUUGAGUAAAGAGAGCACUAUAAAAUCAAAAACCAAUGAAAUGGUUUCCAGAACACAGAACUAUUAAGCUUAAGAAAAGGACAGAAGGAACUGAAGAGAGAGGAACUGUUUUGGAGCAUCACACUUCCACCUCAGAAGAAAUAAGGAAGGAAGGAGGAGGGUGUUCCCACGGCUCUUCAACCAGGCCGGCUCUUCAGCCUACAUCCCCAUCUCAUCAAGUAAAAGGGAUUUUUCAACUGGACCAACCAGAUGGUUUAACAGUGCACUCCCACACCAUUCAACUACGCAAGGGAGAUACACUUAACAUAUGCAGUCGUAUAACACCUACUAACAUUUUCAAACAUUAAACCUUUAAAAAAGAGUUCUAAAGAAAUAGAAGCUUGAAGUAUCAUCUCUCAAGUAUAUAGACACUACUUCAUGGUGUGGUAAUAUAUGCAUAUAGAAGCUAGUAAACACCUCCAGGAGAUGCAAAAGGAAUUAGAACUGCCACAAGGUGCAAGCAAAACCUUGAGAUGGUGUCAGCUUCCUCAAACCACACAGCUGACCGUGGAGAAAGAGAUCGUUUGUCAAAAGACAGUUGAGGUCCUGUUACCGGGGGGAAAAAUGCCAGAAACAAAAGUUCUGUUUUUCCUCUUCUAAUCCUUCACCCAUCUGAGCUAAAGUCUAGACCUAAGGAGGCUACUAAUUCAGGGAUCGAGUAAUCUGCCAAGCAAGAGUUUAUUCAAGCACAGUUUGAAAUAAAGGUUUCAAAUGCAUAGCCUGUCGAUACUUUGGAAGGAUUCUCAUCAUAACGAGUAUGCAAUUUGCUAUAAAGAAGAAUGCCCAUUACGGACUAAAUGUUUAUGUCCUCCUAAAAUUCAUAUGUUGAAGGCCUAACUCUCAAUGUGAUGAUUAUGUGGAGAUGGUGCCUUUGGGAGGUAACUGGGCUUAGAUGUGGGCGUGAGGGUGGGGCCUCAUGGUGAAAUUUGUGCCCUUGUAAGAAAAACACACCACAGGUUUUCAUUCUUCCUCUGCCACAUGAGGCCACAGUAAGAAUGUGACCAUCUGCUAGCCAGGAGGAAAGUCCUCACUGGAACCCGCCCAUAAUAACACUCCAGUCUGGGGCUUUUCAGCCUCCAGAACCAUGAGAAAUAAAUUUCUAGUGUUUAAGUCA
rnacentral:lncRNA from 1 species